AGAGUUUGAUCAUGGCUCAGAUUGAACGCUGGCGGCACGCCUAACACAUGCAAGUCGAGCGGUAACGGGAUGAGUAGCGAUACUGAUUGCCGACGAGCGGCGGACGGGUGAGGAAUACGUAGGAACUUACCCUCAAGAGGGGGACAACCAAGGGAAACUUUGGCUAAUACCGCAUAGACUCGAAAGAGGAAAGUUGCUUGAGAAGGUAACGCUUGAGGAGAGGCCUGCGGCCGAUUAGCUAGUUGGUAGGGUAAAGGCCUACCAAGGCGAUGAUGGGUAACUGGUCUGAGAGGACGACCAGUCACACUGGGACUGAGAGACGGCCCAGACUCCUACGGGAGGCAGCAGUGGGGAAUAUUGGACAAUGGGGGCAACCCUGAUCCAGCGAUGCCGCGUGAGUGAAGAAGGCCUUCGGGUCGUAAAGCUCUUUAGAUUGGGAAGAAGUAGGAGAGAGGAAAGGCUCUUUUAUUGACGGUACUGACAGAAUAAGCACCGGCAAACUCUGUGCCAGUAGCCGCGGUAAUACAGAGGGUGCGAGCGUUAAUCGGAAUUACUGGGCGUAAAGGGCGCGUAGGCGGUAGAGGGGGUGUGAUGUGAAAGCCCUGGGCUUAACCUGGGAAGGGCAUCGCAAACUAAGCUACUGGAGUAGAUGAGAGGGUGGCGGAAUUUCCGGUGUAGCGGUGAAAUGCGUAGAGAUCGGAAGGAACGUCGAUGGCGAAGGCAGCCACCUGGCAUCAUACUGACGCUGAGGCGCGAAAGCGUGGGUAGCGAACAGGAUUAGAUACCCUAGUAGUCC
rnacentral:rRNA from 1 species